AUUGAACGCUGGCGGCAGGCCUAACACAUGCAAGUCGAACGGUAACAGGAAGCAGCUUGCUGCUUCGCUGACGAGUGGCGGACGGGUGAGUAAUGUCUGGGAAGCUGCCUGAUGGAGGGGGAUAACUACUGGAAACGGUAGCUAAUACCGCAUAAUGUCGCAGGACCAAAGAGGGGGACCUUCGGGCCUCUUGCCAUCGGAUGUGCCCAGAUGGGAUUAGCUUGUUGGUGGGGUAACGGCUCACCAAGGCGACGAUCCCUAGCUGGUCUGAGAGGAUGACCAGCCACACUGGAACUGAGGCACGGUCCAGACUCCUACGGGAGGCAGCAGUGGGGAAUAUUGCACAAUGGGCGCAAGCCUGAUGCAGCCAUGCCGCGUGUAUGAAGAAGGCCUUCGGGUUGUAAAGUACUUUCAGCGGGGAGGAAGGGAGUAAAGUUAAUACCUUGGCUCAUUGACGUUACCCGCAGAAGAAGCACCGGCUAACUCCGUG
rnacentral:rRNA from 1 species